rnacentral:tRNA from 1 species
GCCCACGUAGCAUAGUGGUUAGUACUCCACGUUGUGGUCGUGGCGAUGCUGGUUCGAUUCCAGCCGUGGGCA